CAAGCAAGAAGCAAAAUCAGGAAACAGCAAAUUUAAAAAAGUAAAUUUACCAAGGGAAACUUAGAACUUGUAUGUAUAUCUUCUGCAGUUGGAGCUGAAGAUCCAGACAAGUUUCUCCACUCAAAGAAGAACAGUUUUAUUGUUAUUUGCAAAAGGAAUGUAUUAAAAAGUACAAAAUCCAAUGGAGACAGAAGAGAGUAACGCAAAAGCUGCUGCUUCCUGGUAUCUGCUUCAAAAAGACAGACUGCUUGCCCAUGGGAAUAACUCUGAUAUCUCUGGG